rnacentral:rRNA from 1 species
AUUGAACGCUGGCGACAUGCCUUACACAUGCAAGUCGAACGGUAACAGGUCUUCGGAUGCUGACGAGUGGCGAACGGGUGAGUAAUACAUCGGAACGUGCCUAGUAGUGGGGGAUAACUACUCGAAAGAGUGGCUAAUACCGCAUGAGAUCUACGGAUGAAAGCAGGGGAUCGCAAGACCUUGUGCUACUAGAGCGGCCGAUGGCAGGUUAGGUAGUUGGUGGGAUAAAAGCUUACCAAGCCGACGAUCUGUAGCUGGUCUGAGAGGACGAUCCGCCACACUGGGACUGAGACACGGCCCCGACUCCUACGGGGGGCAGCAGUGGGGAAUUUUGGACAAUGGGCGAAAGCCUGAUCCAGCAAUGCCGCGUGCAGGAUGAAGGCCUUCGGGUUGUAAACUGCUUUUGUACGGAACGAAAAGCCCCGGGUUAAUACCCUGGGGUCAUGACGGUACCGUAAGAAUAAGCACCGGCUAACUACGUGCCAGCCGCCGCCGUAA